ACGCUGGCGGCAUGCCUAACACAUGCAAGUCGAACGAGAAAGUUCCUUCGGGAGCGAUUAAAGUGGCGCACGGGUGAGUAACGCGUAGACAAUCUGCCCUUCAGUCUGGGACAACUUUUCGAAAGGAGAGCUAAUACCGGAUAACAAUGUUUAACAUAAGUUAAGUAUUUGAAAGCUUUAUGUGCUGAAGGAGGGGUCUGCGUCCCAUUAGCUAGUUGGUAAGGUAAAGGCUUACCAAGGCAACGAUGGGUAGCGGGUUUGAGAGGACGAUCCGCCACACUGGAACUGAGACACGGUCCAGACUCCUACGGGAGGCAGCAGUGGGGAAUAUUGCACAAUGGAGGAAACUCUGAUGCAGCAAUGUCGCGUGAGUGAAGAAGGCCCUUGGGUCGUAAAGCUCUUUUAUGGGGGAAGAUGAUGACGGUACCCCAAGAAUAAGCACCGGCUAACUAUGUGCCAGCAGCCGCGGUAAUACAUAGGGUGCGAGCGUUGUCCGGAAUCACUGGGCGUAAAGGGUCCGUAGGCGGUUUAACAAGUCUCAUAUGAAAGCUUCAAGCUCAACUUGGAGAUGUUGUGAGAUACUGUUAGACUCGAGACUGUUAGAGGUAAGUGGAAUUCCAGGUGUAGUGGUGAAAUGCGUAGAUAUCUGGAGGAACACCAGUGGCGAAAGCGACUUACUGGGACAGUUCUGACGCUAAGGGACGAAAGCGUGGGGAGCGAACCGGAUUAGAUACCCGGGUAGUCCACGCUGUAAACGAUGAUUGCUAGGUUUUCGGGGCAUCNACCCCUCGUGAGCCGAAGUUAACGCGUUAAGCAAUCCGCCUGAGUAGUACGGCCGCAAGGCUAAAACUCAAAGGAUUG
rnacentral:rRNA from 1 species